rnacentral:lncRNA from 1 species
GGCAAGAGGCCCCAGGUCCUACCAUGUGGACUUCUCCAUAGGACUGCUUGAGUGUUCUCAUGACAUGACAACCAGCUUCUUCCAGAGUAAGAGAUCCCAAAGAGAGCAAAGAGGAAGCCAGAGGACUGAUUUUCCAUCUGGCCUAACCAGAGUCUGAAGUUGCUGAAUCAAACAGAGCCAAUAGGUCGGACUUGAGCUGACUGGAGCAUGCACAGAGCUGGGAAGCACAACUUACCCUGUAUUUCAUGCAAUACAAAGGAAGAUGGCUGUUUGGGGUUGCCGUGUCUCUUAGCAAUUAAGGAGAUGGCUACAGCCAAGCAGUGUGAAGUGACAGCACCAGAAAGUUUUCUACACCAGAGGCUGAGAACAGGGGCUGUGCAGUCAUAUUCAAUAUUGAGUCCCCAACCCUAACCCGGACCUGGCACAUACAAGACAUUCAGCAGAUGGCUAUUGAAUGAAAAUAUAUAAAUGAAUCAACGAUUACCAGCUGCCUCCACUCCCUUAACCUGCUACAGAAUUAAUAAACUAAUCUUGAGCAUA